UGUCUCCUCCACCCUCCUCCUUUGGUGGAUUCAGCCCGAACCCAGCGUUCGGGCUUUUUUUU
rnacentral:ncRNA from 1 species